GCACAUUGCGGUCCUCGGAUACUCGUUCCCGGACCACUCCUGGCUGAGGGUCGUAUCAAUUUCAAAGACUGCUCGAUUUUCUUCUUACGGAGAAAAUGUCGGAGCGCGUUGGAUGUACUAACGCGCAUAAAUGUAUAUUAUUACAUAAUGUGCGACAUCUUAAAAUGCGAAAGCAUUGUAUUUUCUCUAUAUGAAAAAUACAAACUUUUGUACACAACUUCACACGUAUGAGCGCACGAUUAUAAAAUAACACUCGUCAUAUAUAAACAAAGACUUGAAAUUUGUUGGUGAGAAUAUUUUAUAUAGUCGAUACUACACUCUACACGGUCGUCGUGUCCGAGAGAGAAAAUAAAAUUUCGAAGACUAAGACGUCUGAUCUGUGAUAAGUGUAGUCUCUAACAAACGACACAAUAAAUAUAUUCUUACCGUAAACAUAACAAAUAAAGUAAAUAUAUUGUAUAUGCGAG
rnacentral:rRNA from 1 species